UGGGGAAUCUUGGACAAUGGGCGCAAGUCCUGAUCCAGCCAUGCCGCGUGAGUGAUGAAGGCCUUAGGGCUCGUAAAGCUCUUUCGCCAGAGCUGAUAAUGACAGUAUCUGGUAAAGAAACCCCGGCUAACUCCGUGCCAGCAGCCGCGGUAAUACGGAGGGGGUUAGCGUUGUUCGGAAUUACUGGGCGUAAAGCGCGCGUAGGCGGACUANGUCAGUCAGGGGUGAAAUCCCGGGGCUCAACCCCGGAACUGCCUUUGAUACUGCUAGUCUAGAGUUCGAGAGAGGUGAGUGGAAUUCCGAGUGUAGAGGUGAAAUUCGUAGAUAUUCGGAGGAACACCAGUGGCGAAGGCGGCUCACUGGCUCGAUACUGACGCUGAGGUGCGAAAGUGUGGGGAGCAAACAGGAUUAGAUACCCUGGUAGUCCACACCGUAAACGAUGAAUGCCAGUCGUCGGGUAGCAUGCUAUUCGGUGACACACCUAACGGAUUAAGCAUUCCGCCUGGGGAGUACGGUCGCAAGAUUAA
rnacentral:rRNA from 1 species